GGACCAAAUAAAAUAAUAGUCUCUAUGGGAUAAUAUGAGAAUGGAGAAGUAGAGAAAUCAUUCUGAUAUUAUUCCUCUUGGAAAAACAAUGUCCUAAACUCUCUCAGACCUUCAGAAGAAUGAAUGAGGACACGUUCUUCAUCAGACACUCAUUGAAUUGAACACAGUGGGACUUAAAUGGAUGCUGAGUUAAAAAGAGGUGGAGGGGAAUGAUAAUGUAGUUGCAGCUGAGUCUCAGGUAUAAGUGACCUUCUAUAAGUACAGGGACUAUAAUACAACAUGGAAUAAAAAGUAGUAUAUAUUUAAUUGUACAUGUCCUUCAACGUAGCUACCACAAAUCCCUGAAGUAAUACAUGGGAAAACCAGUCUAUAAAACUAGAUGUCAAUACAUAUGUUAUUUCAUCCAAUAUAUAUGUAAAAAGAAAGUUAAAGUUUAUAAAUAGCCCAGUUUUUAAUGAUAAAUAGCCCAGUUUUUUAUGGAGGAAAUGCAGAAUCAUAUUUUCCCCUCAAGUGUGGUCUUUUUCCUGGAGCCAAAUUAUUAGUGGAAUGAAUGUUCACAAUGGUUGAUGCAUGUGGUCUGAAAGGGAAUUGAAUUAUAAUAAUAAAAGGAAUAUAAGAAAUAAUAAUUACUCUAUUUUGGUUUGGGUAGCACAUCUUUUAAUGCAUCUAGGGCAUUUCUAAAGUCUGGCAUUUUCUUUAGAAAACUACCUCGUUUAAUUUUUAUGCUUGACAAAAUGACCUCUUAAUUGUAAGAUCUUUAAUAUCUAAAAAAUGAGGUAUGGAAUUUAACAGUCUUUGGUCCUUUACAUCACUCUGAUGGAAGAGGCAAUCUGAUAGAGUCUCCAGUAGCAACCCAUUAAAACUGUAAAACACAAAAGCCACAGUCUCUUGCCACCUAAUAGGCAUUUUUUCGCUGAUUUAAGAGAGCCUGGAUGACAAAGGAUGCUUGGUGCUUUUUUGAGCUUUAAAUGUGAUUCUCUAAAAUUUGACCUAUGAUGAUGAUUAAUUUUUCAUAAAUCUCCAUUUCACAUGAAUGGAACUACAGAUUAAAAUAUGUGUUUAGUAUUUUAAGUAUUUCCUCAAAAAGGAGAUUGCUACUACUUGUCACACCUUAAAUUGUAUUAGGAAUGACAGCAUAAAUGUUCGCAUUAAUGAUUUUUAAAAUUUACUCAUUUUAAACCAUACAAAGAAUUAUGUGUGAUCCUAGAUGAUAGCAUAUUUAUUUAUAACUCAUAACCCUGAGCCAUUGCUAUUGAUAUCCGAAUUUACUAAUGAAGAAACUGAAGCCAAGAGCAGUGUUAACUUGAACAAUUUCCUUAAUUAUCUCAGUUCACAAAGUGAAAUUGGAAUGGAAACUCAAGGCUGUCUCACUUUAAAUUUCUCUUUUUUAAAAAAUAAUACCACCUCCCAUGAGGGCAAGAGCAUUCAUAUAUUUAACAUUGACUAGCAGGAAGGUUUUUUCACAAUUGAAACUACUGUGACAUUGACUUUUUGAUGAGGCCUGGUUUCUUUUCUCCACACUGACAUUCAGUAGGUUAGUAGAGAGGUGUAGCAUAUCUUACAUUCUACUCAAUCACUAUGGCUAAAGGGAGAGACCAUAGUUGGCAUCUCAGAAUAAGCUAAUAGGGUGGGGAGCUUUGGCUAUUCCUGAGCUUAUUCAGACUCUAUGUUUGGCUGAAGAUCAUA
rnacentral:lncRNA from 1 species